rnacentral:rRNA from 1 species
UACGGGGGGAGCAAGCGUUGUCCGGAUUUAUUGGGCGUAAAGAGCUCGUAGGCGGUUCAGUAAGUCAGGUGUGAAAUCUUUGGGCUUAACCCAAAGCGUGCAUUUGAUACUGCUGUGACUUGAGUUCGGUAGGGGAGUGGGGAAUUCCUAGUGUAGCGGUGAAAUGCGCAGAUAUUAGGAGGAACACCGGUGGCGAAGGCGCCACUCUGGGCCGAAACUGACGCUGAGGAGCGAAAGCGUGGGUAGCAAACAGG